UUGAGAACUUUUGCUACAUCGGUUUUACAUUUGUUAAACCGAUGUAGCACUCUCAAAAAUUAAUCUUGUGUUUCUUGGAAAACGUAAAAUGACCCGCGGAUGGAUAUGCGGUUUCAAAAUCAAGCCUGUUCUCUUCAUCAGUCCGUUGGCGCGGAGUCUGCCUGUUGGCUGAUCUACGAAAGAAUCUGGGUUUUGUCGCCUCAUUCGAGAACUCACCAGUGAAUACCUGCGUGCUCGCUCCGCCGAUUCCACUGCCUCCACUCCACCCUUCGAGCUUCCAGCUCUCUUCCAUUCCCACCUCGCAUUUACCUUCGGAACCGCUGCACACCCUCUCUCAGGAACCUGGCAUCUCACACCCACGCCUCGAAAGACCCGCACCGAAGCUUCAAGAGGAUCAGCGUGUGAAGAUCACUUUAUAAUGAUUUGAAAAAGGUUGCCAUGGCUACAGAAAUUGGAGGAGCAUC